rnacentral:piRNA from 1 species
UGGACAAAACAAUUUGCUAAGUUCAAAAGU